rnacentral:rRNA from 1 species
AUUGAACGCUGGCGGCAUGCCUAACACAUGCAAGUCGAACGGUAACAGGUCCUUCGGACGCUGACGAGUGGCGAACGGGUGAGUAAUACGUAGGAAUCUACCUUGCGAUGGGGGAUAACCCGGGGAAACCCGGGCUAAUACCGCAUACGUCCUAAGGGGGAAAGCGGGCCUCUUCUUGAAAGCUCGCGUCGCUAGAUGAGCCUACGCCCGAUUAGCUAGUUGGUGGGGUAAAGGCCUACCAAGGCGACGACGGUAGCUGGUCUUAGAGGACGAUCAGCCACACCGGAACUGAGACACGGUCCGGACUCCUACGGGAGGCAGCAGUGGGGAAUCUUGGACAAUGGGCGCAAGCCUGAUCCAGCAAUGCCGCGU